CGAAAAUCACCCAUUUUCCCUUCAAAAUCCCCAAUUAUUUGGAAAAUCACGCAUUUUCUCCUCAAAAACCCCCCAUUUAAGGGAAAAUCAUGCAUUUUCUCCUCAAAAAUCCCAUUUAACAAAAAACAUCACCAUUUAAGCAAAAUCACCCUUUUCUCUUCAAAAUCCCCCAUUUUACCCCAAAAUCACGCAUUUUCUCCUCGAAAAUCCCCCAUUUAAGGGUAAAUCAUGCAUUUUCUCUUCGAAAAUCCAACAUUUAGAUAAAAAUCACGCAUUUAAGCAGAAAUCACCCGUUUUCUCUUCAAAAAUCUCCCAUUUAACCUCAAAAUCACCCAUUUUCCCUUCAAAAAUUUGAGAUUUAACUCGAAAAUCACCCCUUUUCCCUUCAAAAAUCCCCAAUUAUUUGGAAAAUCACGCAUUUUCUCCUCAAAAACCCCCCAUUUAAGGGAAAAUCACCCAUUUUCCCUUCAAAAAUCCCAGAUUUAACUCGAAAAUCACCCGUUUUCCCGACAAAAAUGCCCCAUUUAAGCAAAAAUCACCCAUUUUCUCUUCGAAAAUCCCACCUUUAAGUGAAAAUCACCCCUUUUCUCUUCAAAAAUCCCCCAAUUUAAGUGAAAAUCACCCCUUUUCUCUUCGAAAACUUCCCAUUUUACCCCAAAAUCACGCAUUUUCUCCUCGAAAAUCCCCCAUUGAAGGGUAAAUCACGCAUUUUCUCUUCGAAAAUCCAACAUUUAGCUAAAAAAUCACGCAUUUAAGCGAAAAUCACCCGUUUUCUCUUCGAAAAUGCACCAUUUAACCCCAAAAUCACCCAUUUUCUCUUCAAAAUUCCCCCAUUUAAUCCGAAAAUCACCCAUUUUCCCUUCAAAAAUCCCCAAUUUUUUGGAAAAUCACGCAUUUUCUCCUCAAAAACCCCCCAUUUAAGGGAAAAUCACCCAUUUUCCCUUCAAAAAUCCCCAAUUUUUUGGAAAAUCACGCAUUUUCUCCUCAAAAACCCCCCAUUUAAGGGAAAAUCACCAUUUUCCCUUCAAAAAUCCAGAUUUAACAAAAUCACCCGUUUUCCGCAAAAAUCCCCAUUUAAGCAAAAAUCACCCAUUUUCUCUUCAAAAAUCCC
rnacentral:lncRNA from 7 species